rnacentral:lncRNA from 1 species
AGGCAGUUUGUUUACUCAACCCCAGACGGAGGUGUCUGCCACCCCGUAUGCCUGAGAUACACCGGGCGCCCACUUCAGGUCCUACUUCUUCGGAUAGUGGGUCAUCUGGGGUACAGAUGCCGCCGCCUCACCUAUUCCUUCCGCGGAUGAUACCGGCCAUACCUGCAGUCGAUGACUCAUGGACGCCGAUUUAUCCACUGCCCCCGCCAGUAGCUCCAUCAGCGGCGUACCGGUUCGUGCCUUUUGAUACGCCUCUUAUUUUCGCGAAGGUAUCAUCAUCGGAGACAGAAUCCGUCGCGUCCGCCGCAUCGCCCUCAGGUAAUGAAAGAUGAAUGAUUUGUUUUCUUAUAAUUCUCUAAUUUUUAUAAUCAAUUUGGUUUAUCAUGUGAUAGGCACCGUCGGAGCGAAGCCGGCAAAAAAGAAGAGAGGCCCCGUCACAGGGAAGGCUCUCGAGAAGAUCGUCGGUACCUCAGGGAGGAUCGUCAUCGAUACUGACAGAGAUGGCCACAUAGUAUCGGGCGGGAAGUCGAGGAAGUACUCCGGCCGCGUGGGAGCGCUCAUUAGGGAUAAAGUCCCUAUGUUGUGGUCAGACUUGGGCGAGGUCCCGCAGGAGGUUAAGGACAUGGUCCACAACGCAAUGUCGGUGAGUUUACAAAAUGCCUCAAUAAUAUUAUGUAUUACAUUGUAGAUUUCAUGAAAAACUAAACUAAUAAACGGUUAAAUACAUGUGUGGUUUGAGGUUCCCGAGCCUCUGAAGAGCAGCUGGGCGGACUUUGUGCAUGGGGGAAGGUACGUUGGAAAGUUAAUGAAAAAACAAAAUUGUUUGUGAUAUUAAUAAUAUUUCUAAUAUUUUUGUUGUAUCUGUAGGUACAAGGAGUGGAAGAACGAGUUGCGGACCCAUUGGACUACGCACGGGAACACACGUUCUGGUACCCCUACUGAGUUCCAGUACAGAGAGUACGAGUGGCGUUGGCUGCUGACAUCAGAAUUCAACAACCCUCGUAAACAGGUAUUUAAAAAAUUAAUUAGUUAAUUUGUCAUUAAGUACGUGCGUUUUUAAAUAUUUUACUAAUAG